CAUGGAGUUUGAUCCUGGCUCAGGAUGAACGCUAGCGGCAGGCUUAACACAUGCAAGUCGAGGGGUAUAGUUCUUCGGAGCUAGAGACCGGCGCACGGGUGCGUAACGCGUAUGCAAUCUACCUUUUACAGAGGGAUAGCCCAGAGAAAUUUGGAUUAAUACCUCAUAGUAUGUGAGAAUCGCAUGGUUUUCACAUUAAAGUUCCAACGGUAAAAGAUGAGCAUGCGUCCCAUUAGCUUGUUGGUAAGGUAACGGCUUACCAUGGCGACGAUGGGUAGGGGUCCUGAGAGGGAGAUCCCCCACACUGGUACUGAGACACGGACCAGACUCUACGGGGAGCAGCAGUGAGGAAUAUUGGACAAUGGGGCGAAAGCCUGAUCCCAGCAAUGCCGCGUGCAGGAA
rnacentral:rRNA from 1 species